rnacentral:miRNA from 1 species
CUUCCUCUUCCGGUUGGCAGA